AGAGUUUGAUCAUGGCUCAGAUUGAACGCUGGCGGCAGGCCUAACACAUGCAAGUCGAACGGUAACAGGAAGCAGCUUGCUGCUUCGCUGACGAGUGGCGGACGGGUGAGUAAUGUCUGGGAAACUGCCUGAUGGAGGGGGAUAACUACUGGAAACGGUAGCUAAUACCGCAUAAUGUCGCAAGACCAAAGAGGGGGACCUUCGGGCCUCUUGCCAUCGGAUGUGCCCAGAUGGGAUUAGCUUGUUGGUGGGGUAACGGCUCACCAAGGCGACGAUCCCUAGCUGGUCUGAGAGGAUGACCAGCCACACUGGAACUGAGACACGGUCCAGACUCCUACGGGAGGCAGCAGUGGGGAAUAUUGCACAAUGGGCGCAAGCCUGAUGCAGCCAUGCCGCGUGUAUGAAGAAGGCCUUCGGGUUGUAAAGUACUUUCAGCGGGGAGGAAGGGAGUAAAGUUAAUACCUUUGCUCAUUGACGUUACCCGCAGAAGAAGCACCGGCUAACUCCGUGCCAGCAGCCGCGGUAAUACGGAGGGUGCAAGCGUUAAUCGGAAUUACUGGGCGUAAAGCGCACGCAGGCGGUUUGUUAAGUCAGAUGUGAAAUCCCCGGGCUCAACCUGGGAACUGCAUCUGAUACUGGCAAGCUUGAGUCUCGUAGAGGGGGGUAGAAUUCCAGGUGUAGCGGUGAAAUGCGUAGAGAUCUGGAGGAAUACCGGUGGCGAAGGCGGCCCCCUGGACGAAGACUGACGCUCAGGUGCGAAAGCGUGGGGAGCAAACAGGAUUAGAUACCCUGGUAGUCCACGCCGUAAACGAUGUCGACUUGGAGGUUGUGCCCUUGAGGCGUGGCUUCCGGAGCUAACGCGUUAAGUCGACCGCCUGGGGAGUACGGCCGCAAGGUUAAAACUCAAAUGAAUUGACGGGGGCCCGCACAAGCGGUGGAGCAUGUGGUUUAAUUCGAUGCAACGCGAAGAACCUUACCUGGUCUUGACAUCCACGGAAGUUUUCAGAGAUGAAUUUGUGCCUUCGGGAACCGUGAGACAGGUGCUGCAUGGCUGUCGUCAGCUCGUGUUGUGAAAUGUUGGGUUAAGUCCCGCAACGAGCGCAACCCUUAUCCUUUGUUGCCAGCGGUCCGGCCGGGAACUCAAAGGAGACUGCCAGUGAUAAACUGGAGGAAGGUGGGGAUGACGUCAAGUCAUCAUGGCCCUUACGACCAGGGCUACACACGUGCUACAAUGGCGCAUACAAAGAGAAGCGACCUCGCGAGAGCAAGCGGACCUCAUAAAGUGCGUCGUAGUCCGGAUUGGAGUCUGCAACUCGACUCCAUGAAGUCGGAAUCGCUAGUAAUCGUGGAUCAGAAUGCCACGGUGAAUACGUUCCCGGGCCUUGUACACACCGCCCGUCACACCAUGGGAGUGGGUUGCAAAAGAAGUAGGUAGCUUAACCUUCGGGAGGGCGCUUACCACUUUGUGAUUCAUGACUGGGGUGAAGUCGUAACAAGGUAACCGUAGGGGAACCUGCGGUUGGAUCACCU
rnacentral:rRNA from 1 species